GGGACAAGUACAAGAGUCUUCUCUUCUUCAACAAGUUCUUGUUUUUUCUCUCUGUAUCUGAAGUAGCUACUCUCUCACUGUAUCCCAUUAAAGAGAUCAUGGAGGAACUUGAUCUUAUCAAACAAGAGACUACGGAUGAACUUGAUGAAAGCCUUAAUCAACAUGAGAAUGAGGUAGUACCUGAGGACUUACUCCUUGAGGUGAAAGAAGAACCAUCACUCCUUGAGGUGAACCAAGACCAAGACCAAGACCAAG
rnacentral:misc_RNA from 1 species